AUUUUUAUCUUUUCCAAACAGCUUUCAGAUAUAUUUUCUUACUUUACUAUCAUAACUCAUCUAGGAAAUAAGAGUAUACACUAAUUUAUGAGAUCAAGAAAAUACAUUCUCAUUACAGAUGAAUAAUAUAUAGGAAUAGUUUGCUCUGCAAAGGGCCCCAAACAAUUGAUUGUUGAACCUGCAUCUUACCCUGUGCUGUGCUCACACUCUCUGUUGUGUUCGAAGCCCUCUGGGCUCCUCUGUUCAUGGGGUUUCCCAAGCAAGACUACUGAAGUGGUGCCUUUCCCUCUUCAGGGAUCUUCCACACCCAGGGACUGAACCUACGUCUCUUACAUCUCCUGCAUUAGCAGGACAUGGACGAGGUCAGAGAAGACGUCUGCCUCCCAGAACCAAAGUGCAGAAAUGGUGAUUCUGGUUCAUGACAAGAAUGACGAGUUCUUAUCGGCAGAGCAAUCAAGCAAGAUGCCAUCGUGCUCACUGGACCAAAAUUGCAGCUUUGAUUGAAAAAUUAUAUAGAGGACUUUUUGAGCCAUGCCAAGAACCCCUUUCCCAUUUUAGUGUCACCAGUGGUUAGUUUGCUUAUUACGUGUGACAUCAUUUUUUAAAAGCCACGAAACCAUGCAAAGAAUAGAAAGACCAUAAUAUGAACCAAGGGGAUACCACUGCUCAAAAAGCAAAAAUGCUAGUGCAUUAAACAUGUCCUCUGCAUGGGCAGAGGAGCCCAGUGGGCUACAGUCCGUGGGGUCGCAAAGAGUCAGACAUGACUGAGCGGCUAACACACUGCAGGGAUUAAAAAGAGUAAACUAUUUGAAACCGAAUGAAUGUGAUUGGAAUAUUUCUACAUGUCUUUUCGCUCCAACUUUUUAUUUUGAAAAAUUGAAAAUGUACAGAAAAUUGCAAGUACAUGCGUAUGCCCUUAAUGUUGGUGGUGUUGUUUAAUUACUCAGUCAUUUCCAACUCUUUUUACAACCCCAUGGACUGUAACCUGCCAGGCUCCUCUGUCCACGGGAUUCUCCAGGCAAGAAUCCCACUGGAGUGGGUUGCCAUGCCCUCCUCCAGGGGAUCUUCCUGACCCAGGGAUUGAACUGCAUCUCCUGCACUGUCCCCUGCAUUGCCAGGCAGGUUCUUUACCACUAAGCUACCAGCAAAGAUACAAAUAGGGUAUCCUCUAUCCAUAGUGGCUAUUUGGCACUUGGAAGCGACUAGUCCAUUCUGAGCUGUGCUGUUCUAUAUGCCUUUCUAAAAUUAAAUACUUUUUAGAGUUUUCUGAAAAGUGAAUAGAAUCUUGGCCCCUAAACCAAGCAGAUAAAAAUUAUAUAUAUAUGUACAACAUAUUAUAUAUACACAAAUAUACAUGGAUUUAUAUUAAUAAAUAUAAAGAACAUGUAUUUGUGUAUCUCUGAGUACAUAUGUUUCUCCAUGGAUCUAGUCUUCAUUUUCAGUAAAUCACUGAGAAAAAGGUGAUUGUUUAGAAAGGCAGGAUGAAAGGGUAGUCAUCCAGCUUUUAAAAUGUUAUUCAUGUUUCUCCUAAGGAGUAGAUAGAAGCUUGAUGAGAAUUUUAUUUAUUCUCACAUGAAGUAUAUAAUAAAGUAGAAAUAACAGAAUUUUUCCUUUUUGUAAAAUAAAAACAUAUAUCAAAAAUGGAAAAUUUAAACACCAAG
ensembl:lncRNA